UACGUAGGUGGCAAGCGUUGCUCGGAAUCAUUGGGCGUAAAGCGUACGCAGGCUGUUCGUUAAGUCGGGUGUGAAAGCCCAGGGCUCAACCCUGGAAUGGCGCCCGAAACUGGCGAGCUUGAGUGCGGGAGAGGGAAGCGGAAUUCCUGGUGUAGAGGUGAAAUUCGUAGAUAUCAGGAGGAACACCGGUGGCGGAAGCGGCUUCCUGGACCGACACUGACGCUCAUGUACGAAAGCGUGGGGAGCAAACAGG
rnacentral:rRNA from 1 species